UACGUAGGGCGCAAGCGUUGUCCGGAAUUAUUGGGCGUAAAGAGCUCGUAGGCGGCCUGUUGCGUCCGCUGUGAAAUCCCGGGGCUCAACCCCGGGCGUGCAGUGGAUACGGGCUGGCUGGAGGCAGGCAGGGGAGAACGGAAUUCCUGGUGUAGCGGUGAAAUGCGCAGAUAUCAGGAGGAACACCGGUGGCGAAGGCGGUUCUCUGGGCCUGUACUGACGCUGAGGAGCGAAAGCUAGGGGAGCAAACAGG
rnacentral:rRNA from 1 species